CUGGGGGAUUAGUGGCGAACGGGUGAGUAACACGUGAGUAACCUGCCCUUGACUCUGGGAUAAGCCUGGGAAACUGGGUCUAAUACCGGAUAUGACUCCUCAUCGCAUGGUGGGGGGUGGAAAGCUUUUGUGGUUUUGGAUGGACUCGCGGCCUAUCAGCUUGUUGGUGGGGUAAUGGCCUACCAAGGCGACGACGGGUAGCCGGCCUGAGAGGGUGACCGGCCACACUGGGACUGAGACACGGCCCAGACUCCUACGGGAGGCAGCAGUGGGGAAUAUUGCACAAUGGGCGAAAGCCUGAUGCAGCGACGCCGCGUGAGGGAUGACGGCCUUCGGGUUGUAAACCUCUUUCAGUAGGGAAGAAGCGAAAGUGACGGUACCUGCAGAAGAAGCGCCGGCUAACUACGUGCCAGCAGCCGCGGUAAUACGUAGGGCGCAAGCGUUAUCCGGAAUUAUUGGGCGUAAAGAGCUCGUAGGCGGUUUGUCGCGUCUGCUGUGAAAGACCGGGGCUCAACUCCGGUUCUGCAGUGGGUACGGGCAGACUAGAGUGCAGUAGGGGAGACUGGAAUUCCUGGUGUAGCGGUGAAAUGCGCAGAUAUCAGGAGGAACACCGAUGGCGAAGGCAGGUCUCUGGGCUGUAACUGACGCUGAGGAGCGAAAGCAUGGGGAGCGAACAGGAUUAGAUACCCUGGUAGUCCAUGCCGUAAACGUUGGGCACUAGGUGUGGGGGACAUUCCACGUUUUCCGCGCCGUAGCUAACGCAUUAAGUGCCCCGCCUGGGGAGUACGGCCGCAAGGCUAAAACUCAAAGGAAUUGACGGGGGCCCGCACAAGCGGCGGAGCAUGCGGAUUAAUUCGAUGCAACGCGAAGAACCUUACCAAGGCUUGACAUGAACCGGAAAGACCUGGAAACAGGUGCCCCGCUUGCGGUCGGUUUACAGGUGGUGCAUGGUUGUCGUCAGCUCGUGUCGUGAGAUGUUGGGUUAAGUCCCGCAACGAGCGCAACCCUCGUUCUAUGUUGCCAGCGCGUUAUGGCGGGGACUCAUAGGAGACUGCCGGGGUCAACUCGGAGGAAGGUGGGGACGACGUCAAAUCAUCAUGCCCCUUAUGUCUUGGGCUUCACGCAUGCUACAAUGGCCGGUACAAAGGGUUGCGAUACUGUGAGGUGGAGCUAAUCCCAAAAAGCCGGUCUCAGUUCGGAUUGGGGUCUGCAACUCGACCCCAUGAAGUCGGAGUCGCUAGUAAUCGCAGAUCAGCAACGCUGCGGUGAAUACGUUCCCGGGCCUUGUACACACCGCCCGUCAAGUCACGAAAGUU
rnacentral:rRNA from 1 species